rnacentral:rRNA from 1 species
CGGAGGGUGCAAGCGUUUAUCCGGAUUCACUGGGUUUAAAGGGUGCGUAGGAGGGCAGGUAAGUCAGUGGUGAAAUCUCCAAGCUUAACUUGGAAACUGCCGUUGAUACUAUCUGUCUUGAAUAUUGUGGAGGUGAGCGGAAUAUGUCAUGUAGCGGUGAAAUGCUUAGAUAUGACAUAGAACACCAAUUGCGAAGGCAGCUCACUACCCAAUCAUUGACUCUGAGGCACGAAAGCGUGGGGAUCAAACAGGAUUAGAUACCCUGGUAGUCCACGCCCUAAACUAUGGAUACUCGACAUACGCGAUAUACAGUGUGUGUCUGAGCGAAAGCAUUAAGUAUCCCACCUGGGAAGUACGACCGCAAGGUUG